UCAACGAGCACAUGUGAUGGAAUCUAGCUAAGUAGCUAGCUUGUAGCUAUGUCAAGGUGAACAACGGUACUGCGGGCCACCUUAUCAAUUCUAUUAGAAACCAUCACGUUAUUUACAAUGGGGUAAAAAUUCCAUUGAGACAGGCGUAUUAAACGGCUCUCCCAUUCAUUCGUUUGUGAGAAUGGACGGUAUUUCUUUCCUUUAGAAAAGUGGGCAGGUGUCGACUUCAGGGUCAUUAUUAGGACCCCUGCAGAUUAGCUGUUUCCCAGCGCCUUACGAAGUCUAGCAAAUGUUGAUUUUUUAGACAGAUUUGCAAUUCAAGAGUCCUACCAUCAGAGGAUAGAAGAUCUUAGAUUUGCUUCCACCACUUCACCGGCUUCCAUUCCUGUCGCUACAGAACUUCACAAGGCAGCGUAGAUUUCCCAUAGCUUGGACAAUAAAUUAACAUGGGUCGACUAGAAGAUUUGUUAUGGGAGCAUGUAGAUAAAUUGCAAAAUGGUCGUUUAUCCUGUAAAUUUUGUCAUCAUCAAUUUGCGGGAGGUAUUUCUAGGGUUAAAUGGCAUUUGUCUGGCCUUGAGGGCCACGAUGUUAAAGUUUGUGAAAAAGUGCCACAAGAUAUUCAGUUAGCAGUGCAACAAGUACUCGACACUCUCAAUAAGAAAGAUAUACAUAUUAAUGUAUAAAAAAAAACGGAAAGAUAGACAAGUUGAGGAAGAAAAUUGCUCAAUUCCUUCAUCGUCUGGUGGUAACGAAAAGGAUAAAUGUCAACUACUGAAUAAACAAUUGGCCAAGUUGUUCUUCUCAUUUGGCAUUCGUCCUGAGAUCGUUGUCUCUCCCAUCUUCGAGGACUUUGUGAAGAGUAUUGUUGAAUAUAGGCCCAGGACUUAUCAACUGGCAAAUACUUUUAUUGAUGAGCAGGAAUUGAUGUCAGAUGUCAAAAAUGAAGCUAAAGGAUAUAUUGAAAAUUUCAUAGACGACUCAGAUCAAGCAGGUUGUACCUUGAUGGUCAACAUUGGCGGAAUUAUGGUGGUUUUGAUAUCUUUGCUUAUUCACAAAGAGGUGUGGCAUGCUUGAACUCAUUUGAAUUUGAGCUUGAAUCAAACCUUUUUUCAGAAGUAGAAGUCAUCACAUCAACCGUGUUGUACAACUACUUAUAUCUGUUGAUAUUAUGCGGGAUAUCUUUAUCCAGACAAUUAAGAAUCACGAUCCUCGGAUUUGCAUAAGUCAUUGUGCUGCUGAAGAGAUUGAUCACUUAUUUUCUACAAUGAAACUCAAACUGUGUUCUGAAAUCACACUUGUGAAAUUAAUAUUUUAUACUUAUCAUUAUUACAAUGUGUCAUAUAGAAGAGGGAUGAAAAGACCAAAAUAAUAUUAUGCAUUCAGUUUUUUUAUGCUCAAAUCAGUUUUAAAAAUUGAAGAUGAACUGCAAGUCGUUUCAUUUUCUAAUAUAAUAGAGUCAACUGAUUGAGUGAAGUUGCUUGAUGAUGAGCAAGAGAAAGCAGAACAUUUUAGAUGUGCAAAACUUCUUGAUUACAUUAUUGGCGAUAAAGAGUUUUGAACUCGAGUGAAAGCAAUAGCAAAGUGUGGGUUUUACUAUUUCAAGCUUGAUGCCUGGUUAAUCACGAGGACUCAAAUAUAGGAUACUUAUAUCAGAUGAUAGAAAGGCUAAAAGAUGGAAUUGAAAAAAUUCGUGAAUAUGACCACUUCCUUUAUGAUCAUACAAAGAAAAUAUUCAGUAACAUGCGAGGGAAGAUUAUUCAUCCAAUAUAUGUAGCUGCAGCCUUUUUAGAUCCAGCUUAUAUGUGUACUGACAAUUUUAUGAAAAAUGCUGAAAUGAUGGAUGAUAUAAAUUAUAUGUUUGAAAACAUGGUUGAUUUAGAUGAAAAUGAAGCAUUCACGAAUGAACUACAUUAAUACCGUAUGAAAUUGGGAAAGUUAUUCACUGCUCAAGUUAUAACAAUGCUAAAAACAUGCCAUCCUCGUAAGUCAAUAAUUUAUGUUUAUUUAUUUAUUUAUUUAUUUAUUUAUAUAAUAUGAUAUUUUCAGUAAAUUCUUAAGAUAUUUUGGUUUAUUCUUUUUGGAAUGUGUAGGAAUAUGGUGGGACUUUUGUGGAAAGUAUACAGUACCGGUAUUAAGAAAAUAUGCAAUUCGAAUAUUGAGUCAACCUUGUAGUACUUUAUUUUGUAGGCGUUAUGAAGUGCUGCGAGGUGGUCAUGAAUUGAGAGAAGAUUGGACAACAAAGGUCCAUACAAUGAUCAUAAAUGAAAAUUCUAAAUUACUAAAAUUAGAGCCAAUCAUUUUUGAUAAACUUAGUGAAGACCUCGAUGCUUUUAAUGAUGUGACGGAGAUAGAUGUUGAAGAAUAUCUCAAUUUUUUUAUCAGGUUUGAUUGAAGAUACUUUAGUCGAUUGCGUGAUAAAUGAUUCGGGUCCAUUUUGGGAUAACGUCAACAAGAACAUGCAUUUUUUACAGGAUUAUUAUUGUUAAUUAUUGGCUAUUUGUAGAUUCAGAUUUCAAAUUGACUCUUUAUUUAUUUAUCUGCAUAGUUAUCUAAAUUUCUUAGUAUUGUUUCCUACUAUUUUGUUAUUUUUUUC